GAUGAACGCUGGCGGCGUGCCUAAUACAUGCAAGUCGAGCGAACAGACGAGGAGCUUGCUCCUCUGACGUUAGCGGCGGACGGGUGAGUAACACGUGGAUAACCUACCUAUAAGACUGGGAUAACUUCGGGAAACCGGAGCUAAUACCGGAUAAUAUAUUGAACCGCAUGGUUCAAUAGUGAAAGACGGCUUUGCUGUCACUUAUCGAUGGAUCCGCGCCGCCUUAGCUAGUUGGUAAGGUAACGGCUUACCAAGGCAACGAUGCGUAGCCGACCGCAGAGGGUGAUCGGCCACACUGGAACUUAGACACGGUCCAGACUCCUACGGGAGGGAGCAGUAGGGAAUCUUCCGCAAUGGGCGAAAGCCUGACGGAGCAACGCCGCGUGAGUGAUGAAGGUCUUCUGAUCGUAAAACUCUGUUAUUAGGGAAGAACAAAUGUGUAAGUAACUAUGCACUUCUUGACGGUAACUAAUCAGAAAGCCACGGCUAACUACGUG
rnacentral:rRNA from 1 species